rnacentral:rRNA from 1 species
AGGAAUUCGAUAUCCAUGCAUACGGGGAGCAGCAGGCGCGAAACCUUUACACUGCACGACAGUGCGAUAAGGGGAUUCCGAGUGCGAGGGCAUACAGUCCUCGCUUUUGUAUACCGUAAGGAGGUACACGAAUAAGAGCUGGGCAAGACCGGUGCCAGCCGCCGCGGUAACACCGGCAGCUCGAGUGAUGGCCGAUAUUAUUGGGCCUAAAGCGUCCGUAGCUGGCCGGACAGGUCCGUUGGGAAAUCCACUCGCUCAACGAGUGGGCGUCCAGCGGAAACCGUCCGGCUUGGGACCGGAAGACCCGAGGGGUACGUCCGGGGUAGGAGUGAAAUCCUGUAAUCCCGGACGGACCACCGGUGGCGAAAGCGCCUCGGGAAGACGGAUCCGACAGUGAGGGACGAAAGCUAGGGUCUCGAACCGGAUUAGAUACCCGGGUAGUCCUAGCUGUAAACGAUGCCCGCUAGGUGUGGCGCAGGUUACGAGCCUACGCUGUGCCGUAGGGAAGCCGUGAAGCGGGCCGCCUGGGAAGUACGUCUGCAAGGAUGAAACUUAAAGGAAUUGGCGGGGGAGCACACCCAUGGCAAGCUUAUCGAUACCGUCGACCUCGA